rnacentral:rRNA from 1 species
CCGCGGUAAUUUGACCGUGCAAAGGUAGCAUAAUAGUUAGUUUUUUAAUUGGAAUCUUGUAUGAAUGGUUGGACAAAAGAAAUACUGUCUCUAUAAUUAUUCUUGAAUUUAACUUUUAAGUGAAAAGGCUUAAAUAUUUUAAGAAGACGAUAAGACCCUAUAAAGCUUUAUAAGAAGUUUAUAUUUAGUUAAAAUAAAUAAUAAAAUCUUAAUAUUUACUCUUAUUUUAUUGGGGAGAUAAAAUUAUAAUUUAAUAUAACUGAGUUUUAUUAAUACAAAAAUAAAUGUUUAUUAGUAGAUAAAAGAUCCCUUCUAGGGAUUUUAAGUUUAAGUUACUUUAGGGAUAACAGCGUUAUUUCUUUUGAGAGUUCAUAUCGAAAAAGAAGAUUGCGACCUCGAUGUUGAAUUAAAAUUUCUAGAUUAUUGUAGAAGUAAUCUUAGAAGGUCUGUUCGACCUUUAAAUUUUUACAUGAUUUGAGUUCAGACCGGCG